rnacentral:rRNA from 1 species
GACGAGGCACUACGGUGCUGAAGCAACAAAUGCCCUGCUUCCAGGAAAAGCCUCUAAGCAUCAGGUAACACGAAAUCGUACCCCAAACCGACACAGGUGGUCAGGUAGAGAAUACCAAGGCGCUUGAGAGAACUCGGGUGAAGGAACUAGGCAAAAUGGUGCCGUAACUUCGGGAGAAGGCACGCUGACACGUAGGUGAAGUGAUUUACUCAUGGAGCUGAAGUCAGUCGAAGAUACCAGCUGGCUGCAACUGUUUAUUAAAAACACAGCACUGUGCAAACACGAAAGUGGACGUAUACGGUGUGACGCCUGCCCGGUGCCGGAAGGUUAAUUGAUGGGGUCAGCGCAAGCGAAGCUCCUGAUCGAAGCCCCGGUAAACGGCGGCCGUAACUAUAACGGUCCUAAGGUAGCGAAAUUCCUUGUCGGGUAAGUUCCGACCUGCACGAAUGGCGUAAUGAUGGCCAGGCUGUCUCCACCCGAGACUCAGUGAAAUUGAACUCGCUGUGAAGAUGCAGUGUACCCGCGGCAAGACGGAAAGACCCCGUGAACCUUUACUAUAGCUUGACACUGAACAUUGAGCCUUGAUGUGUAGGAUAGGUGGGAGGCUUUGAAGUGUGGACGCCAGUCUGCAUGGAGCCGACCUUGAAAUACCACCCUUUAAUGUUUGAUGUUCUAACGUGGACCCGUAAUCCGGGUUGCGGACAGUGUCUGGUGGGUAGUUUGACUGGGGCGGUCUCCUCCUAAAGAGUAACGGAGGAGCACGAAGGUUGGCUAAUCCUGGUCGGACAUCAGGAGGUUAGUGCAAUGGCAUAAGCCAGCUUGACUGCGAGCGUGACGGCGCGAGCAGGUGCGAAAGCAGGUCAUAGUGAUCCGGUGGUUCUGAAUGGAAGGGCCAUCGCUCAACGGAUAAAAGGUACUCCGGGGAUAACAGGCUGAUACCGCCCAAGAGUUCAUAUCGACGGCGGUGUUUGGCACCUCGAUGUCGGCUCAUCACAUCCUGGGGCUGAAGUAGGUCCCAAGGGUAUGGCUGUUCGCCAUUUAAAGUGGUACGCGAGCUGGGUUUAGAACGUCGUGAGACAGUUCGGUCCCUAUCUGCCGUGGGCGCUGGAGAACUGAGGGGGGCUGCUCCUAGUACGAGAGGACCGGAGUGGACGCAUCACUGGUGUUCGGGUUGUCAUGCCAAUGGCACUGCCCGGUAGCUAAAUGCGGAAGAGAUAAGUGCUGAAAGCAUCUAAGCACGAAACUUGCCCCGAGAUGAGUUCUCCCUGAGACUUAGAGUCUCCUGAAGGAACGUUGAAGACGACGACGUUGAUAGGCCGGGUGUGUAAGCGCAGCGAUGCGUUGAGCUAACCGGUACUAAUGAACCGU